rnacentral:rRNA from 1 species
GACGAACGCUGGCGGCGUGCUUAACACAUGCAAGUCGAACGGAAAGGCCCUGCUUUUGUGGGGUGCUCGAGUGGCGAACGGGUGAGUAACACGUGAGUAACCUGCCCUUGACUUUGGGAUAACUUCAGGAAACUGGGGCUAAUACCGGAUAGGAGCUCCUGCUGCAUGGUGGGGGUUGGAAAGUUUCGGCGGUUGGGGAUGGACUCGCGGCUUAUCAGCUUGUUGGUGGGGUAGUGGCUUACCAAGGCUUUGACGGGUAGCCGGCCUGAGAGGGUGACCGGCGACAUGGGGACUGAGGUACGGCGCAGACUGCUACGGGAGGCAGCGGUGGGGAAGAUUGCACAAUGGGCGGAAGCCUGAUGCUGCAACGCCGCGUGCGGGAUGACGGCCUUCGGGUUGUAAACCGCUUUCGCCUGUGACGAAGCGUGAGUGACGGUAAUGGGUAAAGAAGCACCGGCUAACUACGUG